rnacentral:rRNA from 1 species
AUUACCGCGGCUGCUGGCACGGAGUUAGCCGGUGCUUCUUCUGCGAGUAACGUCAAUCACCAAGGUUAUUAACCUUAAUGCCUUCCUCCUCGCUGAAAGUACUUUACAACCCGAAGGCCUUCUUCAUACACGCGGCAUGGCUGCAUCAGGCUUGCGCCCAUUGUGCAAUAUUCCCCACUGCUGCCUCCCGUAGGAG